UUAUACCUAGGGAUGCAGGCCAGGCUCCAGAAAGAAGGCAUUUUCAUUCAAGCUGAAGAUCUUUUAAAGCCUCUUAUUCUCAUUUAAGGAGAUUGCUUCCUUUGGAAUGCAAUCUUCUUUUUGAUAUGCAGGCAUGUGAGCGUAAAUCCACUACUCUUGUGUAUUUGUACAAUGCAUGAUAUUUUGUAGAGCAAUUAAGCCCCAUAAUUGAAUGCAGAAUCAGAAUUUCCUUCAGUCUUCUCAAUCUGACUUGUUAGCAACCAGAGUGAUUACGGCAGGAGCUGAGGUAAAUGACACUAAUCCAGCGAGGCACAUUUCCAACCUGAAUUGCACACCAAACCUGUUCCUACGCCCCCAUCCCAUGCGAGCAUGAGGCACAAUUAUCACAUGUAAGGUCCUGUUCUGAAAAAGGCAAGAAUCCUACAGGGAAACAGGCUGGGGAGGGAGGGUGCCGUGCUCUUCGUUCCUGUGGCUGAUAAGAAAGCACGUACUGUGUUUCCAGCUCUGUUUCUUCCCUCUUCCCUUUCCUAGCAGUAGCUCUGACAGGCUGAGACCCGGUGCGACACGGUUAUCCAUCUUCUGCAGCAGGACCGUCGGUCAUUCGGGCAGAAAAGCUACUUCUACAGAUUGACUUCCCCUUCCAAAAAAUCGUUCCUAUCCGGAAGAUGUAAUCCCAUCACUGAGAGAACCAUAAAAACCCCUGUGAUUAAAAAGUCUGUGUCACAAAUAGCAAGCUUAGGCCAUAAUAAUAAAAACAGAGGGAAUUUAACCAUGAGUCACUCAGAAAGUUCCUGUAAAUUACUCUUGACGUAGCCUGAGUUGACGCUGAAGAAAUCUGUGAGAAAGUUGUCCUUACAUUCCUGUCGGAUUCCUCAGCAGCUGGGACAGCACUUCUACACCAUGUUCCACCCUGGCUGCCUUGGAGCACAGGCUCGGAUUGCCUCUUGGAUGUGGUGUCCUUCAAUCACGUACCGCCUCCUUUUAAGAGAAGGAAGAACAAAUGGCAAACUGUGGGUAAUGAAAACAACAGAUCAAGAAAAUAGCAUCAGAAUUAAGGUACAAGUGGCCACUUUUGUCAUGGUAGUCUAUCCUCUCUUCUAUAAUUACUCAAAGCACUGCUACAUAGCUUAGCAUUCUUUAUGUCAUAUAUUUGACAAAUAUUUGUCUCUAGUGGCAGAGGCAUAUACCUGUUCUCUGUUAAGAGAAUGAUUGUAUCUGUUUUGUGCGACAGAUUAGUUUGCUAGACCUUUUCUAUCUUUAAAUUUCUGUGCUGGAAUAUGAUGUCUGUUUUGUGCACAAUACCUGUGUGUAAUGUUGCUGGAUCAGGAUGUCUGUUUUGAGCGCAAUACCUGUGUGUAAUGUUGCUGGAUCAGGAUUUUGUAUCUUGCUGGAAAAAUGUGUAAUGCAGUAGCUCCACAUGAUAGUCCAUCAAUUCAAAAUUUUCUAAUUUGUUAAAUUUAAGAAAGCGAUGAAGCUUUUAGUUAAUAUAGCUA
rnacentral:lncRNA from 1 species